CGCAGCCCCUCGCGUGGCGCUAUCUCACCCAAUCCCCCAGGGCCGGAAGGCAGCAAGGGUCAGUGGGCUCUAGCGGGUGCGCGAGGGGUCCUCACG
rnacentral:SRP_RNA from 1 species